GACGAACGCUGGCGGCAUGCCUAAUACAUGCAAGUCGAGCGAACAGAUGAAGUGCUUGCACUUCUGACGUUAGCGGCGAACGGGUGAGUAACACGUAAGGAAUCUACCUAUAAGCGGAGGAUAACAUUCGGAAACGGGUGCUAAUACCGCAUAAUAUCUUCUUCCGCAUGGAAGAAGAUUGAAAGACGGCUCUGCUGUCACUUAUAGAUGACCUUGCGGUGCAUUAGUUAGUUGGUGGGGUGAUGGCCUACCAAGACGAUGAUGCAUAGCCGACCUGAGAGGGUGAUCGGCCACAUUGGGACUGAGACACGGCCCAAACUCCUACGGGAGGCAGCAGCAGGGAAUCUUCCGCAAUGGGCGAAAGCCUGACGGAGCAAUGCCGCGUGAGUGAAGAAGGCCUUCGGGUCGUAAAACUCUGUUAUAAGAGAAGAACAAAUUGUAGAGUAACUGCUACAGUCUUGACGGUAUCUUAUCAGAAAGCCACGGCUAACUACGUGCCAGCCGCCGCGGUAA
rnacentral:rRNA from 1 species